rnacentral:rRNA from 1 species
AUUGAACGCUGGCGGCAUGCCUUACACAUGCAAGUCGAACGGCAGCACGGGGCAACCUGGUGGCGAGUGGCGAACGGGUGAGUAAUGCGUCGGAACGUACCUUUCAGUGGGGGAUAACGUAGCGAAAGUUACGCUAAUACCGCAUAUUCUGUGAGCAGGAAAGCAGGGGAUCGCAAGACCUUGCGCUGAUUGAGCGGCCGAUGUCAGAUUAGCUAGUUGGUGAGGUAAGGGCUCACCAAGGCGACGAUCUGUAGCGGGUCUGAGAGGAUGAUCCGCCACACUGGAACUGAGACACGGUCCAGACUCCUACGGGAGGCAGCAGUGGGGAAUUUUGGACAAUGGGGGCAACCCUGAUCCAGCCAUGCCGCGUGAGUGAAGAAGGCCUUCGGGUUGUAAAGCUCUUUCGGCCGGGAAGAAAUCGCACGGGCUAAUACCCUGUGUGGAUGACGGUACCGGAAUAAGAAGCACCGGCUAACUACGUGCCAGCCGCCGCAGUAA